UACGUAGGGUCCGAGCGUUGUCCGGAAUUAUUGGGCGUAAAGAGCUCGUAGGCGGCUUGUCACGUCGACUGUGAAAGCCCGGGGCCCAACCCCGGAACUGCAUCUGAAACUGCCUGGCUCGAGUCCCGGAGAGGAAGGCAGAAUUCCCGGUGUAGGGGUGAAAUCCGUAGAUAUCGGGAGGAAUACCAGCGGCGAAGGCGGCCUUCUGGACGGUGACUGACGCUGAGACGCGAAAGCGUGGGGAGCAAACAGG
rnacentral:rRNA from 1 species